rfam:Oryza sativa Japonica Group DNA, chromosome 12, cultivar: Nipponbare, complete sequence.
AAAUACUCAAUUCGUAGGUUUCCGUGUCCAAUGUUUGACCGUCCGUCUUAUAUGAAUAUUUUUUAUAAUUAGUAUUUUCAUUAUUGUUAGAUGAUAAAAUAUGAACAAUACUUUAUGCAUGACUUAUCCUUUAAAUUUUUUUUUAUAAUUUUCUAAAAUAAGACGGACGGUCACGAUAGAUACGG